ensembl:lncRNA
CUCCUCUUUUGCUUCUCACAGUUUACACUUUCCUGACCUGACAAUAUCUUGUUUUCUUCUUCUAAUUUACUACUGUUUUCCUGUAUGUUAAAUGUACAGAUAGUUGUUUUUUCACAUUUUUUCCAAUUGAAAAUUUAAAAGGACUUUGAGAUCAUAGAAAGGUUCCUUAAAAGGGGAAAUGAGCAAUUUGAGAAGGAAUCACUGAAGCUCUAUGUUGCAGGUGUUGGUGUUGUAGCAGUAGAGGUUGAACCUUCCUGCCAGGAUUCCACUACAUUUUGUUGUCAUGUGACAGACGGCAGCAGAGGAGCAGUCUGACAUAAUGCUGUCUGACAUGGACGUGAGUAUGAAGCAAAGGUGUGGAACUGAAUUCCUCCAUGCAGAAAAAAUGGCACCCAUUGGCAUUCAUCGAUGCUUGCUGAAUGUUUCUGGAGACCAAUCAGUGGAUGUGAGCACAGUGAGUUGGUCAGUGGCACAUUUCAGCAAUGGUGACAGCAACAUGAAGGACAAGCCAUGUUCCAGACAGCCAUGCGGAUUUUUAUGAAUGUGGCAUACAGCUUCUUGUUCAUUGCUGGUGAAAAAGCAUAGCUAAUGCACAUACAUGAUGGCAAGGAGUGAUGAAUCAGUCAUAUCUUCCAUACUUCAGUGAAAUGACCAUCUCUCUCCAGGGAAGUGAAAUUAUGGUCACACAUCUUUAGUUCAUGCGUCAAUAACAACUACAUUUUAAUGUUUCUUGAGGCCUCCAACAAUUAAAAGGUUUUGCUGUUGAUGUUGUUUUUUGUUUGUUUGUUUGUUUGCUUGACAGGACCAACUUCAUAUAGGUGAAUCAAAACAGAUGGAAUCCAUGCUGCAGACUAAUUGAAGACCCUGGAAAGGCUCAGCAAAUGGUGCUUCUGUCACUAGAUUUUAAGAUCUAACUCUAAACGCAGGCCAAAAGUAGUUCAACACAGAAGAAAGCAGAACACGUCUUUAGGAAGAGUGAAAUAUUUUCAGUACUGG